GCCUGACCAACACACGAGCUAAAGAAAUAAGGACACGUGGUGCAUCAAAAGCCGACAACAAGGCACCUGAAGGUGGAGAGACCUUAUGGGGGAAGUGGGGCGUAACUUACGCGAUCAUGGCUACAACACUCCCCCCACUACUAAAACCAACCAAUAACGUAGACCGAUAAGAUAUUACUAUAAAUAGUAAUUUUGAAGUCUGUAAUAGAGGCAUUUCUCUCUUACGAACGAAAGAACACUGCAUUUUUCAAUAUUUCUAAUUUCAGCAUUUACAACUUUUCUAGAAAUAGUUUACUUGUAAUUUUUAAUCUUUCAGCAUUUACAGUUUUUGUAGGAAUAGUUUACUUGUAAUUCUUAUUCUUCCAGCAUUUAUAGCUUUUUCU
rnacentral:lncRNA from 1 species